GGCAUUUUUUCCUCUGUUUGAAUUUUAUUUAUUUUUGUGGAAAAUUACUUUAUAAGAAAAAGCGUAUGACUUAAAAUGUCCGAAGAAAGGAACUAAAAGCUCAUUUCUUUUAGAAAUGUUAAAAAUGAGUAUUUUUCAAGGCUUUAUACUUACAGUUUUCGUGUCAUUUACGACCGCGAGGCAACAUAGAUAUUCAAAGGUUGACUCACAAAGUGUUAGGUACUCCGAUAUUACUGGACAAUACUUUAAAUUAACACUUCGAGGAUUCCGUGUCUUGCCUUAUGUGACGGAAAGGACGGUUGUUUAUCUGUCAACCAUAACUUGGGUACGGACAUUUGCGAGCUUUCCGCCCAUAUUCCGAGGGUCCUUACACCUCCGUCAGUGACUGAACCCAACUGGAGGGUAUAUUACCAUGACCGUUUCAUUCGUGCCGUUGGUGCAUGGCAAAAUUCAACAUUCGUAGAUAUAUACGCAACUAUAUCUAGUUUAACAGCCGAUUUUGCUAUCGAUGGUAACUACGAAAAUAGCCAUCUGGAAACAGGUCUACCUUGCGCUCAUGCUGCGACUGGCUAUUCCUAUUGGGCUAUGGAGUUCGAACGUAUUGCAGAAGUUUCUUACAUCAUCAUCUACUUCAGAGAUAUUAAUAAUCACAGAAACACCAACUUGCGUUUGUUGAUUUCCUGAAUAAGACAUGAUUCCGACGACAACGUCGGCACAGACUGCGCUACCUACGUCGGACCGCCAGAAUCGCCUGCUCUACCGGUAACAGUCAAGUGCGUUCAGUCUGCGAUUGGAAAGUUCCUGAAGAUAAUAGACUUGACUGAAGAGUCACU